GAACGCUGAAGCCCUGGUGCUUGCACCGGGGUGGAUGAGUGGCGAACGGUGAGUAACACGUGAGUAACCUGCCCCCGACUUCGGGAUAAGCCCGGGAAACUGGGUCUAAUACCGGAUAUGACGACCAAGGCAUCUUUGGUUGUGGAAAGUUUUUUCGGUUGGGGAUGGGCUCGCGGCCUAUCAGUUUGUUGGUGAGGUAAUGGCUACCAAGACGACGACGGGUAGCCGGCCUGAGAGGGCGACCGGCCACACUGGGACUGAGACACGGCCCAGACUCCUACGGGGGCAGCAGUGGGGAAUAUUGCACAAUGGGGGAAACCCUGAUGCAGCGACGCAGCGUGCGGGAUGACGGCCUUCGGGUUGAAACCGCUUUCAGCAGGGAAGAAGCCYUUMKGGGUGACGGUACCUGCAGAAGAAGUACCGGCUAACUACGUGCCAGCAGCGCGGUAAUACGUAGGGUACAAGCGUUGUCCGGAAUUAUUGGGCGUAAAGAGCUCGUAGGUGGUUGGUCACGUCUGCUGGGAAACGCAACGCUUAACGUUGCGCGUGCAGUGGGUACGGGCUGACUAGAGUGCAGUAGGGGAGUCUGGAAUUCCUGGUUAGCGGUGAAAUGCGCAGAUAUCAGGAGGAA
rnacentral:rRNA from 1 species